rnacentral:pre_miRNA from 1 species
UUUCUAGUAUAAGUGUGCUCCAUGCAGUAUUUGGGAUAUACUAAUACUAAAA